GAUGAACGCUCGCGGCAGGCCUAAUACAUGCAAGUCGAACGAGAUUAAGAGGCUUGCUUCUUAUGAAAGUGGCGCACGGGUGCGUAACGCGUAUGCAACCUACCUUAAUCAGGGGGAUAGCCCGAAGAAAUUCGGAUUAAGACCGCAUAAAAACACAGGAUAGCAUUAUCCAAUGUUCAAAUAUUUAUAGGAUUAAGAUGGGCAUGCGUGUCAUUAGCUAGUUGGCGGGGUAACGGCCCACCAAGGCGACGAUGACUAGGGGAUCUGAGAGGAUGACCCCCCGCACUGGUACUGAGACACGGACCAGACUCCUACGGGAGGCAGCAGUAAGGAAUAUUGGUCAAUGGAGGGAACUCUGAACCAGCCAUGCCGCGUGCAGGAAGACAGCCCUCUGGGUCGUAAACUGCUUUUAUUCGGGAAUAAACCUUUCUACGUGUAGGAAGCUGAAUGUACCGAAGGAAUAAGGAUCGGCUAACUCCGUG
rnacentral:rRNA from 1 species